UACGUAGGGAGCAAGCGUUGUCCGGAAUCAUUGGGCGUAAAGCGCGCGUAGGUGGCUUCGUAAGUCCGUUGUGAAAGUCAAAGGCUCAACCUUUGAAAGCCGAUGGAUACUGCGGAGCUAGAGUACGGAAGAGGCGAGUGGAAUUCCUGGUGUAGCGGUGGAAUGCGCAGAUAUCAGGAGGAACACCAAUAGCGAAGGCAGCUCGCUGGGACGUUACUGACGCUAAGGCGCGAAAGCGUGGGGAGCGAACAGG
rnacentral:rRNA from 1 species